AUCCGGCUGACGAGUCCCAAAUGGGACGAAACGUGCGUCCUGGAU
rfam:Schistosoma mansoni strain Puerto Rico chromosome 7, complete genome